AUCAAACUGACGAGUCCCAAAUAGGACGAAACCCACGUUCUGGAU
rnacentral:hammerhead_ribozyme from 1 species